rnacentral:lncRNA from 1 species
UAUUGGGGAAGGGUAAAAUGGUUGAGGAAGGAGGUUCGUGGAAUGUGAGAGCAGAAGAUGCUAGUAGGAGCUCAUUGAUAUGAACUGCCAGGGGAUCCGUAGGUGUCUAAAGAGGGAAGUGAAGCCAGUAGGAGACUGAGAGAUUAGAAGAACAGGGCAGUAGAGGAUGAAUUUGCAGUGAGGUUAAAGGAACAAUUUAUUGGGAGAAGGGAAUGUAGGAGGGUAGAAGACUUUAAAAUUGAAAAGAAAUAAAAGGAGGCAGGGAUGUAAAACGAGCCAUAAGUACAAUGACAAAUGGGCAUUAAGGAGGAAAAAGACUAUGUAGAAGAAUCUGGAACAGCUACCGGACCUGCAUAGCCAUUUUUCUGAUCUGAACCUGGAAGCUCAUAUGUAUGCAUCCCAGUGGUUUCUCACUCUUUUUACUGCCAAGUUCCCACUCUGCAUGGUGUUCCACAUCAUUGACUUACUGCUUUGUGAGGGUUUGAACAUAAUCUUUCAUGUAGCUUUGGCUCUCCUAAAG